CAAAAAAAAAAUUGUAAGUCGCUCUGGAUAAGAGCGUCUGCUAAAUGACAAAUG
rfam:Salmo salar isolate Sally breed double haploid chromosome ssa13, whole genome shotgun sequence.